rnacentral:lncRNA from 1 species
GACAACAGGUACGGGCCAGCAUUGGGACAGGCUUUGCCUGUAAGAGGGCUGGUCUGGGGGGACAUCUGAACCCAAUUCAGGAACACCUCACAGGUCUGCCAGCAGGGCUAGACCCGGGGUGAGAUCCAGGGCAACAGGGUCUGCCUGGGAAGCUCAGCUCCGGCACUGCCUGGGGCGUCUCUGCCUACACAGGACCAUUCCUCUCGCCUGGACUCCUCUUGGAGUUUGCCAAGGCUGGCCUCUGCAGAAAUAGGAGACUCCUGGAGGAAGACAGUGGACUUCAGCAAGCUGCACCAAGGAGAAUCCACAGCGGCAGCUGCCCUGCCAGGCGCGGGAUCUCGGUCAAGGUGGAUCAACACAGCCUCAGGUGUGUGCUCUGCCCCACUGAGAUGGCAAGUGCAUUCUUUUCUAUUCCUACGAGGAAAGAGCAUCCGAAAGAGCCUGCCUUCACAUAGGAUGAAUAACAGUGGACCUUGGCUUUGCCUCAGUGUUAUGUGCUAAUAAACCAUGUAUUCUAUGCCCUAAGGAAGCCCAGAGAGAACUGGACAAGCUGGAUAUCCCAAAGAGCAUGGCACUGGCCCACCACAUUGAUUACAUUGCGCUGGCCGGGUGCUAACCAAGAAGCAGCUAACACACUGGGAGUCUUGGUAAGAUGCCUGAGUGCCUGCAGCUGGCAGACAAAUCCUACAAAGAUUCUGGGAACUGCCACUAAUAACACUCUUGGUGGGGAGGUCCCAUAUCCCAUAACCAGGAGCAUACUGGGCCUCCUGUCCACAGCAAAGAGCCAAUUACUGCAUCUUGCAUCUCCCAUGACCAAGAGAGACAGACAAUGCCAGUACGCCUUCUGGAGGCAGCACGUUCCACACACAUGAAGACUACUCCAGCCUAUGUACCAUUGAUAGGAGAAGCUGUCGGCCUUCCCUGAGCCUGCAGCAGGUCGAGGCUGCAGUGCUGGCAGCCCUGUGACUCAGGCCCUGCAGCUGGUCGGACCCUGUGUUAUGAGAGGUAUCAGACGUGGGAAAGCAAUGCUGUGUGUUUAUGGCAAACCACUAUGCCAGAAUCACAGUGCAGGCCCCUGGGAUUCAGAAACAAAGCCGUGCCAUCUGCGGCAGAGGAUUCUGCGAAAAAUUCUGAAAAGUCCCUGUUGAUGUGCUCCUGGGGCCUGGGGUGAUGGAAUACCUGAUUGUGCAUGUGGAACUGCUCAGAUGAGCUGGAUUCUGUCUCACCCCUGGGUCAUGAGGUUGGGGACUCAGAAAUAACCCAUCACAGGUGGGAGUGUGCGUGUGGCAGCAGCAGAAGCAGGAGCAGGAGGCCAAGCAGCGGCAGCUGCCCAGUACCCCCCCCCACCCUCCACAGCAGUCCCCACAGCCCCAGUGGAGGAACCUUCUGGUGAACUGAGGAGGGAGGGACAAGCCCGGCCUCAGUUCAUGGAGGUGUCUGCUCUGCCUGUGGGGCCAGCCCAAAUCGCCUGGCUGCCAUACUCCAGUCUCAGCAAGCUGCCCUUUAAAGAGGGUGAUAUGGUUUGGCUCUGUGUCCCCACCCAAAUCUCAUCUUGAACUGUAAUCCCCAGGUGAUGAGGGUGAGACCUGAUGGGAAGUGAUUGGAUCAUGGGGGCUGUUUUCCCCAUGCUGUUCUCGUGAUAGUGAAGGAGUUCUCAUGAGAUCUGAUGGUUUUAUAAGUGUCUGGCAAUUCCCCUGCUUGCACUUGUCUUUCUCACCCACCACCACGUAAGACGUGCCUGCUUCCCCUUCCGCCAUGAUUGUAAGUUUCCUGAGGCGUCCCCAGCCAUGCAGAACUGAAAGCCAGGUGCAGAAGGCAGAUAGGACAGAAGGCACUUUGGAGCCGGCUUUCACGCACGGAGACAGGGCCCGAGUGGGACUUACGGAACUUGGUCCCCCGUAGCUGACCCUGGGCAGCUCAGCUCCUUGUGUAUGAGGCGGAUCAGGAACUGCACCAAAACAAAGGUGAAAGAAGUUGGGGCCGCUCCCGCCGUCUGACAGCAUGGCUGCAGGAGGGACACCAGGACACUGAUGACCACUGGGAGGCCAGGCUCUGUGUAUCAUCUGCUUUAAUUCCCACAACAAUCUUGUCACUGGGUGCCAUUAUCAUGCCCAUUUUAAAGCUGUGGAAACUGUGGAGCAGAGGUUACGAAACCUGCCCAAGUCACACACAUGACAGGUGACAGGCAGGAUCUAGAGCCACGGAGCUCCACGCUCCUGGCCUUUGUGCUAUCCCGCCCAAGGCUGCAGAGCAAGACUGUCCUGCUUCUGUUUCUGACUUUUUCUAAUCAGAGAGAGAAGGAGCUUUAGACCACGCAUAUUUAGAAAAGAUGGGAAGACCCAAACCUCUCUGAUAACUCAGGA